rnacentral:lncRNA from 1 species
ACAUUUGUAACCCUAAACUAUCUGCCUUACCAGAUAGUAAAUUCUCAACUCUACCACGAAUUUAAUAAAUUCGUGUUGACCAGCUUAAACAGAUUCCUACGAAUACAAGGAAAUUCUUCCAAACAAAUACUACUCAUCUCUAUCAAAGAAGUGCGAACAAUGCACCCUUUCAACAAAGAUUACCCGAAGGUAGAAGUGAAGGAUAAUUAAAAGAAUUAAAUUCCAAAGAAUAAGAUGAUCUCCAAAAAGGGAGUAAGUUAAUUGUGGUGAGAUCAUCGCUGCAAUAUAUUCACUUCAAGUUUCUAAGAUUCAGGAUAUUAUCGUUAUAAGAUCAGUUCAUUCCCGAACAAUGGGAGGGCUCGAAUUAUUGAAAGUAAUAUGUGAACAAUAUCUUUAAAGCCUUCAAAAUGAAACAGAAAUAUUUUCUCGAUUCACAAUGGUACGAAAUGGAAUAUUUUCACAAUCAACACUUAUCACAAAAUUAUGAAAUAGGCACGAAAAACUUCACGUCAAGACAGGGAUAGUAAACUUGCCUGACAUCCUUUAGCUCGGUAAGACUUUCCAGAUUUAAUAUAUAACUGGCUCCAUCUUUCCAAUUAUUAAAUGUUCUAAAUCACGCAAAAUAAUAAUUAAUAAUUUAAUAAUCUCGUUCACAGAAUAUGAAAAUCCCAAAAUAUUAUAAUUUACGCCUAUAAUUUAUUCACAUCUCUUGUCCGAAUAAUUAUUUAUUAAUCUUACACGAAACUAUGUUUUAUAUAUAUCUAUGUUCUUGUUUACUUAAUUAAAACCAAAUUAUUACAUUAUCUUAGUACUCGUACAAUCACCGAUACUCUAUUUUAAGAAAAAUGUCAUCCUUCACUAAUAACCCAACUUACUAAAUGGUUUCUAAGAUCCGAAAUAACUUAUCCAAAUUCCAAACUUAUUAUUCCAUUAUUAAUAUAACCCAAAUUCUAAGAUUUUACCAAUUUAAUAAUUGAUGAGUCUUAUUCCAUCCUUUAGCUCCAACAUUAUCGACAACAAACCCGUUUUAAACUCCAAAAUUCUUUCACCAUUUCUACUCAAAUAUUCUUAUUUCACCUAUUUUCUGAUUUCUUAUUUCUAAAGUUUAUUUAUUUUAAUAUUAUCAUACCCAAACAUUUCCAUCCCUAAAAUCUAACACUACCUUCUCAUUAUUGAUUUUAUUCCCACUCAAUUUUAAAAUAACCUUAAACUCCUUAUUUUCU